rnacentral:tRNA from 1 species
GAGGGUAUAGCUCAAAGUGGUAGAGCACAUGCUUAGCAUUCAUGAGGUCCUGGGUUCAAUCUCCAGUACCUCCU